rnacentral:rRNA from 1 species
GAGUGCCUACGGGAGGCAGCAGUCGGGAAUAUUGCGCAAUGGAGGAAACUCUGACGCAGUGACGCCGCGUGCAGGAAGAAGGUUUUCGGAUUGUAAACUGCUUUAGACAGGGAAGAAACAAGACAGUACCUGUAGAAUAAGCUCCGGCUAACUACGUGCCAGCAGCCGCGGUAAUACGUAGGGAGCAAGCGUUAUCCGGAUUUAUUGGGUGUAAAGGGUGCGUAGACGGGAAGGCAAGUUAGUUGUGAAAUCCCUCGGCUUAACUGAGGAACUGCAACUAAAACUAUCUUUCUU